GAUGAACGCUGGCGGCGUGCCUAAUACAUGCAAGUCGAGCGAACGGACGAGAAGCUUGCUUCUCUGAUGUUAGCGGCGGACGGGUGAGUAACACGUGGAUAACCUACCUAUAAGACUGGGAUAACUUCGGGAAACCGGAGCUAAUACCGGAUAAUAUUUUGAACCGCAUGGUUCAAAAGUGAAAGACGGUCUUGCUGUCACUUAUAGAUGGAUCCGCGCUGCAUUAGCUAGUUGGUAAGGUAACGGCUUACCAAGGCAACGAUGCAUAGCCGACCUGAGAGGGUGAUCGGCCACACUGGAACUGAGACACGGUCCAGACUCCUACGUGAGGCAGCAGUAGGGAAUCUUCCGCAAAGGGCGAAAGCCUGACGGAGCAACGCCGCGUGAGUGAUGAAGGUCUUCGGAUCGUAAAACUCUGUUAUUAGGGAAGAACAUAUGUGUAAGUAACUGUGCACAUCUUGACGGUACCUAAUCAGAAAGCCACGGCUAACUACGUG
rnacentral:rRNA from 1 species